CUGUCAUUUAAUUGUUGCUCUGAAAGCUUCUUUAGUGAAAACCGGCUGGUGUUCUGCUUUGAAACAAACUGCUGUUGAGGUCUGUGUUUUUAGGUUUAACCCCACAGUUUCUGAAUGAACUGAUAGGUUUUUUUUUUUUUCCUGAUCAAUGUGGACGUUAUAAUUGAUGGUAACAUUUACUGAUCAUAUAAUCAGCAUGACAAUAUAACAGUAGAACAUUCUGACCACCUGACUAAUACUGUGUUGGUCCCUUUAUGCUGCUAAAACUCCUCUGACCCAGUGGUUCAUCAGAACCUCUGGGGAUCCUGUGGAUUCUGUGGAUCCUGUGGGUUGCAGGGUGGGUCCUACCUAGACCAGGCUGAUCCUGGACCAUCCCACAGAUGCUCCAUCAGAUCUGGAUGUGGGGAGUGUGGAACCCAGAUGUUCAGAGGGAGAUGAUGCCACAUCUGGUCCAGCUGAUGGAAGGUCUUGAAGUUCUCUGACUGGCCUCGACUGAAGAUGGUCGUCUCACUGGAUUUAAGGUUGAGAUGCUCAGUAACAAACUCCACCAAUGAGCCAACAGGGAAGCUUUAGGUUUAUUAAAUGUUGCUAUGAAGGUAUCGCUGUUUUUCUUAGUGAAUACAAUGAGCUCCAACUGAAACUUGAAUUAGAACUUAGAAGUAAAUCCUUCCAUGUGAAAGGAUUUAGUUGCAUUAAUAACCUCAUAACAUCCUAAUUUUUAUUCCAGUCUUGGUUGGAAAUAGAAUCUCUGUAUUGAUUCAGGUAAAAACUGAACUUCACAGCAUGUUGGAGCAAAACAACCAGAUGAAAACUGUGAUGGUGUUGGAUUGUCAGACUGUAAUGUUGCAGCUCAAAGCAGCUUUUCUAGCUCAGUUCAUUCUGACAUUCAGCUAUGAAUCAACACAGCAGAUGGUGAUCCAUGCUGUGGAAGUCUCACAUCUCCUGAUUUAAUGGAGCUGCUUUGCACUUUUUACACUGUUUAUUCACCAACACUUUAUUUAAUAAAAGUCCCAUCUAGUUUUUAUGAGGAAUGUGAUGUUUUAAUUUCUCUGAAUAACUGCAGUCUAAUGUAACAGCUGGAGUUGUAACAUCUGUCCUGAUGUUGAUCAUGAAGUAUUGAUCAGAAUACUUAUGGUCAGCAGUCAUCCCUGAAGUUUUACAUUAAAAUCUUUACUUCUGUUGUGAACUUUGGUAAGAAGCAGAAACUUUAGCGUUGCCAUGGAUACAUGAGUGUUAAAUUCUGUCCAUGUUUCCAUUUUGGGAAAUGCAGUCCAGCAGAUGAGUUUGUUUUUACUGCCAGCUACCAUUCAGUCUGAGAUAUUAAGAAUAAAUAAAUGUGCAUAAUGUGGAAAUGAACAGGUUUUAUUUUUAUUUAUUCCUACAGCUGCUGCAUUUAAAGUUCUAGAAUGUGGAGGAAUUUAGUCUCACAACCACAGACAAUAAAUAUUAUCUGAAUGUCAGGUUAUUGUUGUUUAUCAGCACAAUACAAAAAGAUUAAUGUUAGAAAUAUUCCAGUUAAGACUCCAAUUAAGAUUCCAGUUAAGAAUAUCAAGAUUUAUGUAAAUUUACCUCAAUAAUAUAAAUGUUCAGGUUAAGAUUGUACAGUGAUAUUUAUUAUGUAAGUUUAGCUGAUUAAAGUUUAUGAGUCUGCACUAAAAUAUUAUUUAAAUUUACAUCAUUAUUAUAAUAUUUAGGGUCAGACCCUACAGUAUUGAGAUUAAGAAAUCAAAUAUUCUUUAAAAUCUAAAUACACUGAACUAAUUUGGAUAUAUUUAAGUGAGACUCUACAAUAUUAUUUGACACAAAUCUAUCUAAAUCAAAAUUUGAAUCAUUUUUACUCCAAAUAUUUACUGGACUGAUUUAAAUAUUAAAAUCACUCCUUUCUAAUCCUCUGCUGUAUGUUCAAACCUGAGGCCUUAAAUAGAAACACACAAGUAUCUGAUUGAAGGAACUUCUGCAGAGUCCUGGUUCCAGAACAUGAUGAUAGAAUUAUAGACAAACUUCAACAAAAGCUGCCUGAGAGUUUACAGGUUUUUAUGUUAGAUUUCUUCAGUAAUUUAAUGAUAGUUAUCAGCAAAAAUCAAGUGUUCAUUUGAUGAACUUCAUUUCCUAAAACAUCCAGAAUUGGAGCUCAUAUCUUUGGCAGCUGUAAAGUUUCUGCUCCUUCAAAGUUCACAACACAAUGAAUGAAUUCCUAAAACACUCUCAAUGCUGGAGAGUGUUUGUGAUGCUGAAGCAGUGACCAGUUUUUCUGUUUCUUCUCUGGAGAUGCACAAUGAGGGACGUCUGCAGCGACUGAGAAAGAGUCUCACCACAUCCUGACAUGAGGAAAAAGACUUUAUUGAAGACUACAAUGAGAAAAACUAUCAGACAGCAGACGGCUGCAUUCAAGGUGAGCUCUGAACAUUUAAUCUGGAACAGGAAUUCAAUAACUGCAGCAUGAGCUUCAUUUCAGUCUGUAGCUGCUGAAUUCAUGGAUGAAUCAUCUGGCAUUAGAGAGGAAGACCAUCAAACAUCCAUGUCAGCUGAUGGAGGUCCAAGAGUCUCACCCAACAAACAACCUACAGAGUGAAGACCUCCAAUCUGAUUGGACGGCCUCCUAUUCAGCCACAUUUUAGGCUGUUAGAUUGUUCCAGAUAAGACAAAUACAAGAUUCUUCAGAGCCGUUCUACCAGGAGCCUGACAGGAAGAACUCCAACAGCUACUGAAUGUUCCUGUGGUCCCCUGAAGGUUACAGGAGGAGUCCUAUGAGGACGAACCGGUCCACCUGAUGGUGGCCAGUCGCUGCGGUUCAAAGCCAACACCGACUACGUGGACUUCUACUGGACCACACGGAGGCCUUCAAACCGGACCAACAAGUUCAGCGACUCCCCGACUCGUGGGUCUGAGGACGCCGCCGAGCCUCGGUCCAGCCGGCCUCCUGUCUGUGGAUGUUUGAGUGCUGAGAGGUUUGUGGAUGCAUGUGAAAGUUCUGUGUUGAAACAGCAGCUUUGGACUCAGUAACGCCAGGAAAAACCAAGAGCUCCUUUAUUUGUGACUUCCACUAAAAAAACUGAUGAAAAUAAGUUUGCCAGGGUUCUGACUGAUAACAGAUUAUUAAAUAAUGAAAAUAACAGUUUAAAUAUUCCUUUAAACAAUCCUUUUAGAUCUACAUUUCCUUUACACUGACUUCUUGGUAUAUGUACAAGUAUUUUGGGUGGAAUAUACCAUUAAGCCCAAUGUUCAAGGGUUCUUCUGGGAAUAUACCAUUAAACCAACCUUUUAGGUAAAUGUUCCAGGAUGUUGGGUAGAAUAUACCAUCAGAUAAACCUUUUAGGUCUACAUUGGAAGAUUUUAGAGUAGAAUAUUCCUCCAAACCAUCCUUUAGGUCUACAUUUAAGGUGGAAUACUCCUUUACACUAAGAUUUUUUGGUCUACAUUGAAGGAUUUUAGGUGGAAUUUUCUUUCAAAUCGUCUUUUAGUCUACAUUAAAGGAUGUUUAGGAUGGUAUAUUCUUCCAAACCAACUUCUCAGGUUUACAGUUCAGGUGGAAUAUUCCUCCAUACUAACUUUUUUGGUCUACAUUGAAGGAUUUUUUUCUAAACCACCCUUUCGGGUCUAUAUUUGAGGUUUUAGGUGGAAUAUUCCUUUUAACCAGCCCCUCAGGUCUCUUUGAGGAUUUUAGAUAGAAUACUCAGUUAAACCAACAUUUUAGGUGCAUGUCCAAGGAUUUUUGGUGGAAUAUUCCUUUAAGGUGGAUGUGUGAGGACCUUGUAGGUGGAAUACUUCCUGAAACCAACCUUUUACGUCAACAUUCAAAGAUUUAAGGUGGAAUAUUCCUUUAAACCAACCAAAUUUCAUGUUUUGAUCAUUAUCAAGUGAGAAACCUCAAUCCAGACUCCUCAUAAUGAUGUUUGACAUUUAUGCUGCUGUUAUUUGUUUAGUCCAGACUAAAUGACAGAAAUCUACAACUGUAAUUUUAUUUCAGGACUCAGUUAUUAAAUGUCAAAACAAUCCAUGUGACUCUAAAAACUCAACAGCUUUACAAACUCUAAGAUUAAACUCUCCACAAGGAUCCAAAAUAAGUUGGACUUCUACAUGAGAGCUUUAAUUAUUCUUCAUCUACUUCCUGAAAAGUUUGGUCAAUAAAAAAGACAAAAACUAAUAUUUUCAGCUGAACUAAAGACAGAUUUUGUGAUUUUUCUGCUCACAUGUGUUGUUGUAAACUUCCUCUUUCAAAUAAAUAGCCUCCUAACCCCCUGGAAACCAGCCUUUGUCCUGUUUUUGUGUUUCUCCUCGGUGACCCUAGACAGCCGGGUCCUAAUGUUUUUUGAGUAACACACCAUACUAUGAUGUUUUUACAAUGAUGGUUCUACUAUGGAACCAGUUUGACAUGUUCAGGUGUUCUUUGUGUGAAAACUCAGAGAUUUCAGGUAUCAGAAGGUGGUUUUCAACUUUCUUUGUUAACUUUCUGCUUCAACUUUAAAUUAAAUUUCCUUCACUAACCCAGCCCUCUGGACUCCCAGUAAGCUGUGUUCCUAUUGGCUGUCCAGGUGGCUGCUUGGUGUUAUCAGGAACACCUGAGCAGCUCAGUGUCUUCCUGCUUUAUUUAGCUGCAGACAAACAUUUCCUCUGUUUCUCUUCACCACUGAACUGGGUUUGGCUCCAUUGCUUUAGUUUGUUUUUUAGGCGUUGGCUUGCAGCUUCCAGCAGUAAAAUCGUCUUUAAUGUGUUUCUUAAUGUGUUUUAGGGCUUUGUACUGGAUAGCUGUCUUGGUAAAUGUGGUUCUUUAGCCACAGUUAGCACAUGGUGCUAAUGUGUGCAGUGAUUAGUGGAUUUGCUGCAGCUGAGUUGUGUCUUUGUCUUGGCUGUAGUGAGUCUUUAGAGGUUGUUGGUCAGACACAUUCUGUAUUCUUGUUUGAGAACCAGCGUUGGUUGUCCAGAAGGUAAGAGUUCCUGUCCUGAUUCUCUGUUCUCAGAGGUUCUCUGGUAGGUUGCAGGAGACUUUAGCGUUUGGGUUGUGUUUGUUUGGUUUUUGUACAGUUUCAUUUGGACGACUAUCUUGAGGCUCCUCCAUGUGGUUUAGUGAGGUUUUCUGGAACAGUUCUACAAAGCAACCUGCAGCAGAAGAGACUUUGAGAGUUUUUAGGAAGUUCUGGAGACCAGACUUUAGAGCAGCAGAAACAUUUGUCAGCAGUUUGAGCAGGAGAAGGUGAGCUUCAGAGUAGAAAUGAGAAGGAAACCUUUUUGACCCGUGUGGUGAGGUCCUGUACCAAGAGUUUGUGCAGGUUGUGAAGAGUCUGUAGUUCUUUGGUCUGAAAGCACAAGAAGAGUCGACUCAUUAAAGGAGAAAACAGGAGAUACUGUUGGUUCUUCUGUCGCUCUGCAGUUUCCAGAUUCCUUAGACUGAAUAUCAAGUUUAUAUUUUAAAUGAUUUCUCAUGUGAGCCCAAGAAGAUUUCAAUAAACUCCCUCCAUCCCCUGGACACAACAUAUUUUAUUACCAUGUUAAAUUUUUUUUUUUUUUUUUUUUAAAUAAUGUU